GAUGAACGCUGGCGGCGUGCCUAAUACAUGCAAGUCGAGCGAACAGACGAGGAGCUUGCUCCUCUGACGUUAGCGGCGGACGGGUGAGUAACACGUGGAUAACCUACCUAUAAGACUGGGAUAACUUCGGGAAACCGGAGCUAAUACCGGAUAAUAUAUUGAACCGCAUGGUUCAAUAGUGAAAGAGGGUUUUGCUGUCACUUAUAGAUGGAUCCGCGCCGCAUUAGCUAGUUGGUAAGGUAACGGCUUACCAAGGCAACGAUGCGUAGCCGACCUGAGAGGGUGAUCGGCCACACUGGAACUGAGACACGGUCCAGACUCCUACGGGAGGCAGCAGUAGGGAAUCUUCCGCAAAGGGCGAAAGCUUGACGGAGCAACGCCGCGUGAGUGAUGAAGGUCUUCGGAUCGUAAAACUCUGUUAUUAGGGAAGAACAAAUGUGUAAGUAACUAUGCACGUCUUGACGGUACCUAAUCAGAAAGCCACGGCUAACUACGUG
rnacentral:rRNA from 1 species